rnacentral:sRNA from 1 species
UUUACAGGCCUCUCAAUUGCUUAUUUUAACUUUGGAAACCAGCUCUACCACUCCCUGCUAUGUAUUGUGCUUCAGUUCCUCAUCCUUCGACUAAUGGGCCGCACCAUCACUGCCGUCCUCACUACCUUUUGCUUCCAGAUGGCCUACCUUCUGGCUGGAUAUUAUUACACAGCCACCGGCAACUACGAUAUCAAGUGGACAAUGCCACAUUGUGUUCUGACUUUGAAGCUGAUUGGUGAGUGAUGGUCACUGCCUGCCUUCCUUACAUGUAGGUCCCUCCCCCAUCUCACUAAAAACUUCCUCGGCACCCCCCCCGCCAUACACUUCUGGCUGCACUCAGUCUACAGGCCACAUCCUCAGUGUCCUCUCCCACCACCCUACCCACCCGUUCUCUCUCUGCUCAGGUUUGGCUGUUGACUACUUUGACGGAGGGAAAGAUCAGGUAAGUACCCAUUCAUCCGCAGAGAGGUUCAAGAC